UGGGGAAUAUUGGACAAUGGGCGCAAGCCUGAUCCAGUCAUGCCGCGUGGGUGAAGAAGGCCUUCGGGUUGUAAAGCCCUUUUGUUGGGAAAGAAAACUUUCCGAUUAAUACUCGGAGAGAAUGACGGUACCCAAAGAAUAAGCACCGGCUAACUUCGUGCCAGCAGCCGCGGUAAUACGAAGGGUGCAAGCGUUACUCGGAAUUACUGGGCGUAAAGCGUGCGUAGGUGGUUCGUUAAGUCUGAUGUGAAAGCCCUGGGCUCAACCUGGGAAUUGCAUUGGAUACUGGCGGGCUAGAGUACGGUAGAGGGUAGUGGAAUUCCUGGUGUAGCAGUGAAAUGCGUAGAGAUCAGGAGGAACAUCCGUGGCGAAGGCGACUACCUGGACCAGUACUGACACUGAGGCACGAAAGCGUGGGGAGCAA
rnacentral:rRNA from 1 species